rnacentral:rRNA from 1 species
UACAGAGGUCUCAAGCGUUUGUCCGGAAUUAUUGGGCGUAAAGCGCGCGCAGGCGGUUCUUUAAGUCUGAUGUGAAAGCCCCCGGCUCAACCCGGGGAGGGUCAUUGGAAACUGGGGAACUUGAGUGCAGAAGAGAAGAGCGGAAUUCCACGUGUAGCGGUGAAAUGCGUAGAGAUGUGGAGGAACACCAGUGGCGAAGGCGGCUCUUUGGUCUGUAACUGACGCUGAGGCGCGAAAGCGUGGGGGAGCAAACAGG